CAAGAGGGAGAGAAAAACAGGACCAGAGAACAGUUGCUCUAUUGUGUCCAUCCACAUUUUGCAAGUUUUAUAUAAGAGCAUGGUUUGCUGAAAUAAUCAACCAACAAACUAUUUACAUCUUAACCCUUCACCAGAGCUUGGUAUAAACCACAAUCCUCCUAUCUUCAAUGGAAGUUCUGCAGUGACUGUUCUGUUUGUCAGAGUUUUGAUACAGAGGGCUCUUUAACAUCUUAUGGCACCCUCUGAAUGAAUCUCAUUCUCCCUGAAACUGGAGCUAGUCGUCGGAAACCCUGAGUUCCGAUGGUGGCGUCCACUCUGAAGGUGAUACCCUGCUAGCCCAGAGAUUCACACACUGGUGACAGGGCUCAGACUGGACCGUGACAGGUCGGCAGGAGAGGAAGGGGUCAUGAGAAAGAAAAACAACAUGGACGUGCCAAGACCUGUACUAUAACGCUUCUCUGGAUUAAAGAGUGACAAACAAAUAACCUGUUGGGUCGGUAUCUUACUGGAUCCAUCCUGAGGUAAUGAUGGGCCCAGAGCCAAGAGAGCCUGGAGGGAAACUGUCAGCCAUUUUGAGUUUAGAAAAGAAAUACGGAAGAAAAUGGCCUCCCAGUUUGGCUUGAAGGUCUAAUCAACGUUCUCAAUCUUCCACGCUGACAUAUCUCUUCAAGAAAGGGUAAUUUGCAGAAACCCAGUUACCGUGCUGACAGUGAAUGGAAGACGCUGGAAACACAGUGAGCCAACAGAUGAAGGGAGAGGGACAGAGAGUGGAGGCCGAAAACCGAGCCCUGCCCUGGAUGAAAUCACUUACUGAGACGUUGAGCAACACUGGCCCUGAUGAACUGAAACCGCUUGGAUAAAAACAUCAGAAGUACAUUGUACAACUCUGAAUCGUCUGACUGGGAGUCUCUCCUGACUCUCGGUUGAGAGCAGACUAUCUGCUCGGAUCUUGGCCGGAGAUGAAAGUGCUGGAACAUGGAGGGGCCGAGGCCUCAGCUGAGGGCUCAUGAAGGCUGUGCUCUGUGAUCUUAUUAUUUAGCUCUGUGUGACCCGGCCCUCCGUUCCAUUCCACGUCUCUCUGGCCCGGGCUUAGCACAUGGCUAAGCUGCUGACUUCCAGACACACACACGCACACACACACACACGCACACCUCAGGCAAAACAGGGCCGUAUCUGGGAGUUGUCUGGCCGGUUCUCGUUUUUCUUUUCUUUCUUUUGUACCCUGACACACAAGUGCAUGCGCGUACGCCUUGACCCUGGGUCCUGCCCUUCUGAAGUCUGACACACUUAGAGGCACGCUCCACACCCUCCGAGGGCUGUAUGCUGUCGCACAGACACACACACACACAGACACACGCACAGACACACGCAGUCAUGCAUUGCUGACUCACAUGUAGUUGCAUGCGGAAACUGCUAUAGUGGGACACUGGUACAGAUACUCUCACAGUGGAAGUGAGACACCACAUGAUACCCUAAUUGUUUAUGUUGCAGAUUCCACACAAUACAAUUCCAAAGUGUGAAGUUUCACUAGCCUACAUUUACAGGCACACGCAACCUUUAAAACCAGCAGGAUGGGUUGUGCGCGAUCUUCACCCUAUCUGAUAACCAAACUUCUUUUGUGCAGCCGAGUUAAUGUUUCUCAAAGACACACUUAGAACACAAGCCUCACUCCUGUGUCCUUUGUCCCUUGCUGCAAGUCGUUCUGCUGAAGGUGCCCUCGUAAAAUAUGGAUUCAAGAUUUACUCACGUUGGCUGAUACCGCUACUGUAAUCAGAGAAGGGAAUCAUGAUACGGCAUGUGUGUGUGCAUGAAGGCGUACCACAAGGUACAAUCUGAGGCAGGCUUCAAGGCCAAAAAACAUAGAAGAGGCAGACCUAUGAUCGUGAAAUGUGUGUGCCUAUGUAUAAAGAAGGUGUCAAUUGAACUUCUUUGAGAAAUGUACAUGUUAAUGUGUAUUAUGGAAACUAAAACAGAAACUAUACAGUGCAAUACACAAUGGUUUCAUACAUGUGUAUGUGUAUGUGUGCAGCAUUAUGUAACGUUUGUCUCAUGUCUA